GGCUAGUUGGUCUAGGGGUUUGAUUCUCGCUUAGGGUGCGGGAGGUCCUGGUUCAAAUCCAGGAUGAGCCC
rnacentral:tRNA from 1 species